UGCACGCUAUGACCGAGCUCAGAAUACGCUUUACAGUACAGGAACUAGUUAUGCAGGCUAGGGAGUCGCUUUUUCAGACUUGAUAAUGAAAGGUGAUGAACGCUGGCCUACUGGCUUAACACAUGCAUUUCUAGGGGAAACGACAUCUAAAGCUUGCUUUUGAUGGGCGUCGACCGGCGCACGGGUGAGUAACGCGUAUCCAACCUGCCCACCACUUGGGGAUAACCUUGCUAAAGUAAGACUAAUACCCAAUGACGUCUCUAGAAGACAUCUGAAAGAGAUUAAAGAUUUAUCGGUGAUGGAUGGGGAUGCGUCUGAUUACCUUGUUGGCGGGGUAACGGCCCACCAAGGCAACGAUCAGUAGGGGUUCUGAGACGAAGGUCCCCCACAUUGGAACUGAGACACGGUCCAAACUCCUACGGGAGGCAGCAGUGAGGAAUAUUGGUCAAUGGACGAGAGUCUGAACCAGCCAAGUAGCGUGCAGGAUGACGGCCCUAUGGGUUGUAAACUGCUUUUAUAAGGGAAUAAAGUGAGUCUCGUGAGACUUUUUGCAUGUACCUUAUGAGUAAGGACCGGCUAAUUCCGUGCCAGCAGCCGCGGUAAUACGGAAGGUCCGGGCGUUAUCCGGAUUUAUUGGGUUUAAAGGGAGCGUAGGCCGGAGAUUAAGCGUGUUGUGAAAUGUAGACGCUCAGCGUCUGCACUGCAGCGCGAACUGGUUUCCUUGAGUACGCACAAAGUGGGCGGAAUUCGUGGUGUAGCGGUGGAAUGCUUAGAUAUCACGAAGAACUCCGAUUGCGAAGGCAGCUCACUGGAGCGCAACUGACGCUGAAGCUCGAAAGUGCGGGUAUCGAACAGGAUUAGAUACCCUGGUAGUCCGCACGGUAAACGAUGGAUGCCCGCGGUUCGUUGAAUCUCGCGG
rnacentral:rRNA from 1 species